rnacentral:rRNA from 1 species
GAUGAACGCUGGCGGCGUGCCUAAUACAUGCCAGUCGAGCGAACAGACGAGGAGCUUGCUCCUCUGACGUUAGCGGCGGACGGGUGAGUAACACGUGGAUAACCUACCCAUAAGACUGGGAUAACUUCGGGAAACCGGAGCUAAUACCGGAUAAUAUAUUGAACCGCAUGGUUCAAUAGUGAAAGACGGUUUUGCUGUCACUUAUAGAUGGAUCCGCGCCGCAUUAGCUAGUUGGUAAGGUAACGGCUUACCAAGGCAACGAUGCGUAGCCGACCUGAGAGGGUGAUCGGCCACACUGGAACUGAGACACGGUCCAGACUCCUACGGGAGGCAGCAGUAGGGAAUCUUCCGCAAUGGGCGAAAGCCUGACGGAGCAACGCCGCGUGAGUGAUGAAGGUCUUCGGAUCGUAAAACUCUGUUAUUAGGGAAGAACAAAUGUGUAAGUAACUAUGCACGUCUUGACGGUACCUAAUCAGAAAGCCACGGCUAACUACGUG